AAUCAACGCUGGCGGCGUGCCUAACACAUGCAAGUCGAACGCGAAAGCCCUUUCGGGGGUAAGUAGAGUGGCGUCCGGGUGAGUAACACGUAGGUAAUCUACCUUCGGGUGGGGAAUAACUCGCCGAAAGGCGAGCUAAUACCGCAUAAUGUAGCGGCACCUAAUGGUGAUUAGUUGUUAAAGCGGGGGAUCGUAAGACCUCGCGCCUGAAGAGGAGCCUGCGGCAGAUUAGCUAGUUGGGAGGUAAUGGCUCACCAAGGCUUCGAUCUGUAGCUGGUCUGAGAGGACGGCCAGCCACACUGGCACUGACACACGGGCCAGACUCCUACGGGAGGCAGCAGUGGGGAAUUUUGGGCAAUGGGCGCAAGCCUGACCCAGCAACGCCGCGUGAGGGAGAAAUCCUUCGGGAUGUAAACCUCACAAGC
rnacentral:rRNA from 1 species